rnacentral:lncRNA from 1 species
AUAAAUUUAAUAAUUCAAGAGUUAGAAUUAAACACAAUGUAAGUAGCUCAUAAGUAUGUCUACCUUGUAUCUUUAUACACAAGCAUGCAUCCAUGUUUAAUACUUACAUACAAGGCAUCACCCAUACUCUUAUAACAAGAUCUAAUUUCCCGAUGAUGUAUGCUCACAAACUAUCAUUGACUCAAGUUUAUGUAGUGAACAAAGUGUUGAUGGUUUCAAACUAGUUGGUUUUGAGGACCACAAUCUAAAUACACACAACCAGUACCCUCUCAAGAUGCUUGCUCAAGCUUACAUAAGAGAUUCCUUUUUUAUCUUCCUCUUUUUUUUACUCAUUGACAUCUUUUCAAGUCUUUUCUUCCCCUUAUCACUUUAAGAUAACUACCCUUAGUUGAGGGAAAUAUUUUUUGUCGAAGCUAUGAUAAGAGCAUAUCAUAUACUACUAAAUAAUAUGAAUCUUAAGUAGAAAAUAAUUUGAAGGAAAUUUUUUAAGUAUCUUAAGAUUUCAAAUUAACUAAUUCUGCACUCUUGAGUGAACGAAAAUGAGGCAAACCAUAGAUUGUCAAAGCAAGAUCAUUUAUUGUUGUCUCUAUGCAUCUGAAAUGGGUGUCUAGCAUUCUGACCAUCAAGGCUAAGGAUGUAAGAGUCUCUUGUAUAAUACCUAUCUCGAUCGUCAAUUAUAAUAUAGUGUUGGCAAUCACAUCAGUAAGUUGGGAUCAAUGUUUUCAAAAUCGCACAGGUCAUUAAACCGAAAAAGUUACCGAUUCACGGUUUACUGGUUGAAUUGAUGAUAUCAUAAAUAUAUAAUUUAUAAUUUAUUAAAA